CGGGGUCAUGUCACUUCAAGACAACUUGUGAAACGUGCAGGUGUGUGUGUGUUCUCAGGUGUGUGUUUGCGUGUUUUCAGGUAGUUUCCUCCCCCGCCUCCCUCCUUCCUUACCUGUACGGUGAGUCUGCUCCUCACACGGGACGGACGAUGUCUAACCUACCGGUCUGCUCCACAUGAACACCUGGAAACCACCGAGGGGAACAGCAUGAAUCACAUUACACCGGAGAGUAGUUUCGUCUGAAGUUCUAGAAGAUUUUUACAGAUUAAAAGCACGGAAAUGACUCAAAGGAGGAAGGUGUUUUCCUCUCUGCGGUCAGGGAGAGACCGUCCUCCGGAGGAUAUCCACAUCUUCUGUCUUCCUCCCAUUGUUCCCACAGACCAGGAGCCAGCUCAGAACGGAGGACAAGCCGGGGAUAUGGAGGGAGAGAAAUCAGUGAUCCAGACGACGCACACACACAGAGGGUCCACCCCCUCGGUCUUCCCCCAGAAACCGAAUAGUGAACCGGUUUCUAGUACCUACUUUGAACAAAAGGUCCCUGUUCCCGAGGAGGACAGCGAGAAGUGUUUCAGUUUCAGGAAGCUCUGGGCCUUCACGGGGCCGGGUUUCCUGAUGAGUAUCGCGUACCUGGACCCCGGGAACAUCGAGUCUGACCUGCAGUCUGGAGCUAAAGCUGGCUUUAAGCUCCUCUGGGUGCUGCUGGCGGCCACCAUCAUCGGCCUGCUGCUGCAGCGGCUUGGCGCUCGACUCGGCGUCGUCACCGGGAUGCACCUGGCCGAAGUCUGCAACCAGCAGUACCGCACGGUCCCUCGUAUCAUCCUGUGGUUGAUGGUGGAGAUCGCCAUCAUCGGCUCCGACAUGCAGGAGGUGAUCGGCUGCGCCAUCGCCUUCAAUCUCCUCUCCUCCGGCAGGAUCCCGUUGUGGGGAGGCGUUCUCAUCACCAUUACCGACACGUUCGUCUUCCUCUUCUUGGACAAAUACGGCCUCAGGAAGUUGGAGGCCUUCUUCGGUUUGCUCAUCACCGUCAUGGCCAUCACCUUCGGAUAUGAGUAUGUGAUGGUGAGUCCGGAUCAAGGCCAGCUGCUGAAGGGGAUGUUCGUGCCGUCCUGCAAGGGCUGCGGCCCGGUUCAGAUGACUCAGGCCGUCGGCAUCGUGGGAGCCGUCAUCAUGCCUCACAACAUCUACCUCCACUCUGCUCUGGUCAAGUCUCGAGAAGUGGAUCGGUCGAACAAGAAAGAACUAAAGGAGGCCAACAAAUACUUCUUCAUUGAGUCGACCGUCGCGCUCUUCAUCUCCUUCCUCAUCAACGUGUUUGUGGUGGCCGUGUUCGCCGAGGCCUUCUAUGAGCGCACAAACGAGGAGGUGUACAACAUCUGCAAUCACACAGGAAGUCCUCCCUCGCAUGUCUUCCCUCUGAACAAUGAGACUCUGCAGGUGAACCUCUAUAAAGGGGGAGUGUUGCUCGGCUGUUUCUUUGGCCCGGCAGCGCUCUACAUCUGGGCCGUGGGGAUCCUUGCAGCUGGUCAGAGCUCCACCAUGACGGGAACGUACUCCGGCCAGUUUGUCAUGGAGGGUUUCUUGAACCUGCGCUGGUCGCGUUUCGCACGGGUGUUUUUGACCCGGUCCAUCGCCAUCACCCCCACCCUGCUGGUGGCCAUCUUCCAGGACGUGCAGGACCUGACGGGCAUGAACGACUUCCUGAACGUGCUGCAGAGCAUGCAGCUGCCAUUCGCCCUCAUCCCCAUCCUCACCUUCACCAGUCUGCCAUCUCUCAUGAAUGAGUUUGCCAAUGGAUUAGUGUAUAAGAUCGGAGGAGGCCUGGUGAUCUUGGUGGUGUGUGCCAUCAACAUGUACUUCGUGGUGGUCUACGUGACGGAGCUGAACAGUGUGUGGCUGUAUGUGCUGGCUGCCUUCCUCUCCAUAGCAUACCUGACAUUUGUGGGAUAUUUGGUGUGGCUGUGUUUGAUCGCUCUCGGAGUCUCCUGGCUGGAUCCGAGCACCAGAACAGGGACUGACACGAGGAUCCUGAUGGAGCAGCAGCCAGAGUUUGACUCCUGAAUCACAUGAGGAUGUUUAUAUAAAAGGUGCAGCUGUGAGCAACCAGACUGAUAUGUCACUGUUUUGUCUUACAAAACAUUUAGUCUUCUUAAAUGCCUGUUUAUUUAUAAUUGAACUAGAAAGGUAUUUUUAAUUGGAAUAGAUAUUUCAAUUUAGUAUUCGUAAAUGUUUAGUCAAACUCCAAUUAGUUUUGCAAAAUCGACAGCUUUAAAUGUGUUAAAGCAGAGUUAUUGUUACGGCGGUUAAGAGCACAGAUAGUUAAAACUACGUAUGGCCCGGGGUAAAGCAAGUACCUCCAUACCUCACUUUCUCAUAUUAUAUCACCUCACCACUCUGCAGGUUUAGUGGCGUCAUUUUGUCGUUCUCUAAACAUCGAAAUGAAAGAACCAAAUGAAGAUGCAAUAAAUAAAUGUAUGUAAAUGAUCCAAAUUGAAAAAAAGAGAAAGCAUAAAGUAAUGCAUGAAAUAAAUCUUGACACUUUUUUAAACAAUAUGUCUCCUUAAACAAAACAUAGCAAAUACAAACAGCAUCAGACAUUAAUUUACUGGUUUAUUUGAUAAGGACCAAGCACAUUAUUAGAAAAGUGUAAAAACUUAAAGAUGAAAACAUGCUAAAGUCAGCAGAAAUGCUUGUUCACAUCUACAGUCCUUAGGUACGUAACAAAAACAGAAGCAUAUGAAGUGAAAAUAUACAUAAACACAUACACAACACAUGAGUAGAAAAUACAGCAUGCAUUGUGUAAGAUGUCAGGUUAAAAGGAAUCACAGUUGUGGUUUUCCUUAAGCUAUUGUUUAGGCAUCUCAUUUUACAAUAUUUAAAAACGACAUUUGAGAGUUUGUGCAAGUUAAAUUAAGGAUGUUUUAAGUCCUUUCGAAAACCACAUCAGCGGCCAGCUUUUUCUUUAGUACUUCCCAGCAUUAUAUACAUUAAAUUCCUAAUGAUGUAAUUCAUUCAACUAAUCUGAACUGGACCCAGAAAACCAACCUACUGUUAUAAAACUCCAAUUUUUGUUUAUUUUUAAGUUUAGCAGGCACAUACUAAGAGGCCCUAAUAAAAUUGAAAGUGAAAUGCCCUCUGAGGCCUUUCUAGAGGAAGCAGAAACCCAUGUUGUUUAAAGUGUAAUUUCUCUUUUGGCCACCGGGCGGCAGUGCAGACCCUCCUCAGUUCCUUUACAUGCCUCCCCACCAGAGCUGAACAACAUAACACAUUUAAUGACACGGUGUGUUACAUCACACACUAUGUUGUUAUGGCUGCACAGAAACAGCGUGAUUCUUUCAAAAGAAAAUCAGAGAAAUGGAAUCAAAUGAGUGUCAGUGAGUUGCCUGUUACACUGCUGUGCAUUCAGAUGAGUGUGACAUGCCUGUGGUGGGGAUGGUAUGUCUGAAGAGUUGCAACUAUUGUGUAACUGCAAGCAAACACGGCUGGUUUCAGUGUUGCUUGAAUUCCUUUCCUAAAGUGCUUCGGCAUUUUGCAAGCAGAGGACAGGCGGAUGGACAGGUUUUUCUUUGCAUUGUGGCGGGGAACUUUUUUUUUUCCUGUCAUGGAGGCAGAGUUAUGUAAGAGAGUCUUCCCACCGCCCCUCUGUGUUUUUGUUUUUCUCAAUGAGCCAAAUGUCUCCCUGCCUAGGCCUCACAGCCUGUCCAGUAGGCCCCUUUCCUGGAAACAUAGCCUAGCAGAGGCCACUCAGGGGCAGGCCCGCGAGGUGGGAGUGUGGGGGAGGAGGGGAGGGAGGCCUCUUCCAGCAAAUCACAUGGUUUUAGCCCCUACAGUCCCAGCCCUACAUGAGGCUCAGAUGCUGCAAGCACAUUUCAACAGCUAGUUUGUCAUCAACGUGAUUGGAUGUAGCUAAUGCAUGGCAGAGUGCAUGAGGCUUUUUUUUUUCCUGUUUCCAUACAUCACAGAUUUGAUCGCUGCUGUAUGAAUUAAACGAGGUAUGCAACGUUUCAAGAAGUAGAGGGCACCAGAAGUCAGGCACAGAUAAUGCAUUUGAAAUUGAUUCAGUAAAAAGUGGCAUCAGCUGAAGACCGCAUGACAUUUUCCAGCUGUGGGGGCCAUACUUUAUUUUGUAUAUAUUUUUAUAUAGAUCUGUCAGUGCUGCCUUAAAAUGUCCGACACCAGGAAUGCAAACAGCGGGGCCAUUCCUGUUUAUGUCUUGCACUGUGGCCACUGUGGCCACUGGCAGAGCUUAAUGGGCCCACAUGUGUUUGGAAAGGGUACACUGACUAUUUCAACUCUACUUAUUCCUUUAUUUACAACUUUAUUUAAGUGUUUCUUUGUGUUUUCAUCACUAAAGGUCUUAUUGAUGGAUGUUUUACGAUCUGCUGUUGCUAAACUCCUCAUCAGUUGCUCAGGUGGAGGAAGUACUUAAAUCCUUUACUUAAGUAAAAGUAGAAAAUGGGCUCAACAUAUUCCAAGUAAAAGUCCAGAAUCCAAGAUGUUAAGUGGAGGAAAGAAGUAUGAUCAGCUAAAUGAACGUAUCAAAAGAGCAUUCAUAUAUUAUGUCAUGUUUUUUAUCACUGACACAUACAUGUAAACACAUUUUAAUAUUGUAGUUUAUUACUGUAAUGUGGAGCUGAUUUUCGAUGAUCAUAAUUGUAUUACAGGAUUGCAUACUAUAAUAUCAGCUCUGCUCCUAUUAUAAAAUGCAGUGCAAUUCAACAAAUACAUUUUAUGUGCAAAGGGUAACUCUAUGUACAAAUGUAACUACUAUUUUGAAUUCAAUACAUCAAGUGUAGUAAAAAGAACAAUAUUUACCUCUGAAAUGUAGUGCAAGAGUAAAGUAGCAUAAAUGGACAAAUAAAGUACAAUAAUGUCAAAAUAAUUCUAAAGUAUAGCGCUUGGGUAAAUGUGCUUGGUUACAUUCCACCGCUGCUCACAAUGCAUCAGAUUUAAUCUGAGGUUUUAAAGGAUAAGGAGGCAAUGUGUGCUGUAAAUAAAAAUAUCUGGGGACCAACUGGUCGACCACAUUGCCAACCAUGAUGUCAAACCCCCUUCCAUUUAUUUUAACACGGUAAAACAAAUGGGUUUUAGUUCCCACUGUUCAGGGAAUCACUACAAAAACAUAGUGAAAAGCGAUUGCAGCUGAUUACAACUUAUUUUCAUAAAAACAACAGUAAACUGCAAUAAAGUAUAGUUUUUUUAAUGAGUAA